AUGAGCGUCCAACAUGUCAUUGACCUUGUGAAAGCCAUCUUUCAUUACAAGGUGAAAUACGGCAAGGCAUGGAAGGCGAAGCAAGCCGCAUUUAAGAUGUUGUAUGGUACAUGGGAGGAAGCAUACAACCGAAUCCCUAGGUUGUUGUUAGCCAUGGCCGCGACAAACCCGGGCAUGGUUCAUGUGGUCGAGCCUCAUGGGCACCAAACAACGGUUCAUGAAGGAAGGAAAGUUAGAGUAUUUGGCCGUGCUUUUUGGGCGUUCGAGCAAUGUGUGAGGGCUUUCGAACAUUGUAGGCCGGUCAUCGCAAUUGAUGGCACGUUCUUGACCGGACAAUACAAGGGAACCUUGUUGGUUGCGAUAGCAAGUGAUGCCAAUAACCGGGUGUUGCCAUUGGCAUUUGCUUUGGUUGAGGUGGAAAACAAUGACAACUGGGAGUGGUUUCUGCAUCUUUUGAGGACGAAGGUGUUACCUGCUCAAAGGGAAAUUUGUGUCAUAUCGGAUCGGAAUCAAGGAAUUCUUAACGCCGUGGAGAUUGACAUUCCCGGGCAUGCUCCGUUGCAACAUCGCUGGUGCAUGAGGCACUUUUGUUCAAACUUCUAUAGGGCAUGUGGCCUUAAGGAGUUGGCCGAUGAUCUUCAAGAUUGUUGUCUCGCUUUCUCCGAUAAGCGCUUCGCCACUUUGUACAACAAAUUGCUCGCACACAAAAAACUUGAUCCCGGGGGUCAAGAGUUUCUCAAUAGGCACAUUCAAUACCGGAACAAGUGGGCACGUGCUUUUGAUGAAGAUGGCCGGAGAUACGGUCAAAUGACAAGCAAUAUGGCCGAAUGCUUCAAUAGGGUGCUCAAAGGUGCACGUGGAUUACCCGUGACGGCAAUAGUUCAAUACACAUUUGACAAGAUGAAUGCGUACUUUGUAAAGUACUCGAUGGAAACCGAUGCACAGAUAGCGGGUGAGAACCCACGGAAGUACAAGUACAAGUUCCCACCCAAAGUUGAUGAAUGGUUGCUAUUUCAAUCACAGAAGGCGGACUCAGAAGAAGCUAUAUUAUAUGACAAUGAAGAGUGGAAGUACGAAGUGAAAGAGCCAGGAGGAACCACAAAUGAUGGCCGGCAACAUGGAGGUCGGGCUUUCAAGGUGUCGUUAACACAAUGUGAUUGCUCUUGCGGGAGGCCAUUGUUGCUUCAUCUCCCAUGCUCACAUUUGUAUGCCGCCGGCCGCGUUAGGAAUGUGGACAUCAAUCACCCACGCAUGGCCCAAUCCUUGAUCUUCCGCUGCUUUUUCCUAUCCAACCUGCAAGUUAGAAACAAGAUAUUAGCAUCAUUGAAACCGUCGAGAAGCUGCUAA
rnacentral:rRNA from 1 species